AAUGGGUCGGAUCUUGCUUGCUUGCUUACUUGGUUGGUUGGUUGAUGGCGCCACGCGGAGAUUAGGCCCGAUUUGAAGUGUCACCCUAUUAAAGCCAUCAUAAUCUUUUGGGUCCAAGUUGCAGCUUGAUCGUGAACGAAGUUGAAUGUCGUCUCAUUGGUGGAAUAGAGUGCUGGUGUUGAUGAUGGGACUACGACAUUUACAGACAAAUAUACACGCAGAAAGACAGAGAGAGAGAGCUAGAGUGAGCGACAAUUCAUCCCGGGACGAUGACUGCAAAGUGCGAAGGAAACGGACCAAGAAGAGCUAAAUGAAAAAGAAGAAGAAGAGUUCAAAACCGAGCCCUGACUUCCUCGAUGAUCGAGAGAUUCCAUGAGUCUGUAUUUAUAAACAUAUAAUGAUCCUCGUUAUUUGGAAGCACAGAAGGAACGGAAACCAUAAUUUUCUGCGCCUCUCUCCCAAAAAAGACAUUUUGGCGGCCGUUUACACGUACCACACGUAGACCCCUUAUUGAGUGAUUACAGGGCUAAAUCACUUGCAGCUAAUUACUUGUGUAUGAUUAACAGCAAUCAUCUCUCCAUGUUUGAACACAGGAGUGGUUUCUCAAAAAACUAGAGAUGAACCACAUUCCAAUUUUUAUGCCUUUGGAGGCUGUGUAGCGUGCAAUGUGCAAAACCAAUGGUUUUGAGCUGGGAAACAACAGGUAGCUGGGUGUAACCAUUUGGUGCUGUUGUUAUUUGUUUUUGGCGAAGACCACAAAAAUCUCCGAAAUAGCUUCCAAUGAGUUGGUUAUGGUUGUCUUCAGGGUUGCCAAGGCGCCACUUUCCGCUCGCUGUCUGAGCUGCACUAACUGAAGCAGGUCUGCGUCUCAUUUAUCAUUGGCUGCAUGAAGCUUGGCCAUAACGGCAUCCCUGACUUGCGAACCAUUGUCGCGAUCCCAAAUGGCAUGGAAGCCGUCAAAUCGACAAUGUUAUGAGUAUGAAUAACUUCCUAAAGUCAUUCUCAUUUUGGUGGCUGAACAAGGUGUCUAGUAGACGCAACCAGAAAGUACUACACUUCAACCACUUCCCUAUCUUCUCUCACAGGACUUCAGUAUUAUAGAAAAAAAAGAGAAGACGAGUGAGAAUAGAGCCAGUCGGGUAAUUAUGGCCAUUAUUUAAUCUUUAACUUAAUUGCUGACACAUACAUUUGACAGUUUUACGAUCACCAAGUUCAACAACAACAACAGCUACAACAAUGUUGUUGUCGUCCUCCUGGACUGGUUCCCCAAGUAAACACUGCAUUUUAAAUGUGAGAAAAUCAAUCUCCCCGCUCGAAGAAAUGACUCGCCGACAACUAACCAGCAGACGGCAUUCUUAUGUCUUUUGUGGUGAUGGUUGAUGGUGGUGCACAAUGUCGAGUGCACACGAUUAUCCAUGUAGUUCUAUCGUAUAUAGGUGCAUGCAUUUGGAUAACGACACAAUUUAGAUCCAAUGUCCAGAUUGUCUUUUUGAUCCAUCGCCUUGGAAUGCCACUGGAGUCGGAUUGAAAUUGGGAUUGGACAACGAGACAUGAAAAUAUGUGUUUUUCUUGGACAUUUAGUUUUGGGAAAGCUUUCGAGCGACAGAGAGAGGCCUGGUGGGUGGCUAUACUACAGGAAACAUUAAAAUUGUCUAGCAUUCGUUAGCCCUGCUUUUUGUCAAGGCAUAAAUCACCCAAGUAUUUAUGAACCACUCGAGCAGCUUAUUUGGCUGGGAUCGACUCGAUCCUUUGAAACAAUUCUGAGUACUAUUACUCAGAGUGUGCUUUACUUACUGUACAGUACAUGAAAUUACAAACUGAGGAUCGAAUUUGUUGGUCACAAGAAAUAAAAGAUUGUCAUGCCGACGAAUCUCGAUUUCAUCCGACGAUCCAAUGUGACACUUUUGUCGUCUCGCUGGUUUCCGCCUAACCUGACAUGUGAAUUAAGUCACUUUUUUCCGGCCUACCGAUCUCUCAUUGCUCCCAUUUGAAAUACAGAUACACAUAUGUAGAUAUACAUAUGUGGAAUCUUUUUUCGUUCCAAUGGCAGAUUUCGCAACUUCAAUUCGAGUCAGUGUCUCCAAAACCGGGCAAAGCUGAUGAAUAAAAUGAUCUUGGUCAGACUAUUCUUGUUUCUUAACGGGCAUGGCUGUCUCUCAAGAUUAUCCAGCAGCACUCAUCGUUAUCGUCAUAGGUGCACUCGGGGCCCUUGAAGCGAUAAAUUACGGAUAAUUAUACAAUAAAAUUCUAAUGACGGGCUUGAAUAACAUGGGCGAAAAGCCAGUCAAAUAGCGUCCGUCCUCCUCCUCCUCCUCGCUCACUCCUCACUCACUCACCUUGCCACUUAUGUACACAUAGUACUAUAUUGUGCCGUCAAAUAUACCAGCUGACAAAAAGAUCGUGUCUCUAUUGUUGCAAGUGCAUAACACACUCACUCACAAACAUACACAUUUCUAUUGAUUAACUAUCCCAGAUCCCAUGAGUCUUCAAAUUGAACGGGCUUGAAGAUCGAAUCUGUGACUUGUCGAGCCACCGGACUUCUCACCAUCAUUUGCUCAUCCCAAACUCGUGACUGACGCACUCAUUCAUUUACGUUCCGUACAGUAGUGAAUGCAUGCAUACGUAGUACAUUUGUAGUACACACAGUGAGCCGCGUGGUCAUGGGUCGCCUCGGCUUUUGGACCUACGUACAUCCCUACUUACUGAUUAACGAACCAACCAACUAACCCAUAAGUUAGAAUCGCUAAUCGGCGAUGUUUUUCUAAUUCUGUCUCAAGUUACGGAAGUCGACAUAAAUCACGGGGUCAAGUGAAACUACAUGUACCUUAUGUAGUAUUGCCGUUACAGUGGAGCUAGUGAAAGGGACACACACAGGAAGUGGACUUGAAAUUCAAUAUCCCACUGAGACGAUUUCACGUGAUUGCUGUUUUAUUGAAUAUCAUAAAGCUAUCGGAGACCUGGCUGAACCUCACACUUUCUGGGGUGAUUUUUAAAUCGAUUUCUAUGGCUAGUUAUUCUGGAUCUACAAUGGAACUCGGCGUUGCUCUUGACAAGGCUAUAAAGGGGAGACCUUGGUUCUAGUAUUCACUUGGAAUAUUAUGUCAAUGAACAAAAGCUGGAGAUCAAAACAAAACCCCAAAUCUGCCAAGAUACCUGAUUUUAAAACCCCAGCUUCUUUUAAUGUUAAAUGUUAAAUUUCCAAAAUUCUAUGGAG